ACCCUAAAAACUCCAAACAUCAAGAAUAUGAGACAAUCGACAAUGAAAACUCUAAAUAUCCAAAGAGAAAAAACAGAGAAUUGAAGAGAGAGUUAGAGACCUAGAUAGGUUGAUUGAGUUGAGAGAGGUGAUCAGAGGAGAGGUGAGGCAAGAGGCCAAGCAGUGCGGAGAGAGCCAUCUCCGAGUGCUUAGGAUGAAUCCGUCGCAUCAAUCCCAAAGUCGCCUCCAUUUUAUUCAAAAAAAGGAUUCGGUUAAGCUCUAGAACCACCACCACCACUCUAGGGACCCUUCCCCCUGAUGACACGUGGCGUGCCUCGCUGUCCGAGGCGACUCCAUCCGGACUCCCCAGAGAAGGACACAUGGCGCGCUCCCCCUAUCCGGACUUCCUUAGGGAAAAGCACACGACACUCGCAAGCAUCACAUCCCCGGACGAUAGCAUAUCCUAUUCGGAUAUGUUGUCCGGAUCGUUGACUAAAGUAAGUAAGUCUUAAUGACAGCUUGCGUGGCCCACGUUUCGCCACCUGCAGAGUGAAAGGACAGAAGUGAUGGCAAAUCACCUCCCACGAUCUCUGACAGCCGUGUCGUAGGGUGAUGAUGACCCUGCCACCACCUAGAGGCAUCAUGACGAGCCAAAAAGUCUCCCUACCAUUAAAGAAGAGGACAGAGCUUCUGAUACUAUAUAUAUGGACCUUCACACAAGAAGGAAGGUAAGCUUGCUAUACCUAGUAAAAGGCCAACUGAUUAAUCUCUCUAAGACAUGGCUGACAAAAUCAUCGAAGGGUGUGUCCGGACACCCUGUCCAUACAUCUUUUGCAGGGACAACUGAACCAGAACUCUAUCUUGGUUGAAAGUGUGCGUCCAUUUGGCAGCUACGUGGAUCAUCGGGACGCAAGGCCUUAACAUUGGCGCCGUCUGUGGGAAACUCGCUGAUUCAGUCACCGGCAAAGAUGUCCACACCUUCCAAAAGCCACUCGUCUGCUAGGGGAGAGGAAGAUAAUUUUGAAUGGCGCUGAGCCAUCGAAAGAAGACAGUUGGCAAGCGAGCGACAACUGCAAGCUCUCCUCCAGGAGACAAUAAGAUUAAGAGAAGAAAACGCUGUGUUGCGAAUAUAGGCUUCAUCAACGGGGCCUCCCCGUCAUUAGCAUUCAAGAGGUCAGGUAGCAAACUCAAGGCCUGACCCAGAGUCAAUAUACCCUGGGGCAGCAGGAGCAAUCCCUGAAACAUGCAACGUUAGGCCACAUGAGCCACACACGCCCAUGCACCGAGCUCCUCAUGAGGAAAGCUCAGACUCUACUCAUCUUUCAACAAAAAGACAACGCGACAAAAAACCCCAUUUGUUAGACUCAAUGCGCGCGAGACUAGGCCCACAGGAGCCUAGGAGGCCAAGGCCGCCAGUUGCCACAACCUGGGGAGCACACCCUGACCCUAUGGUCACCCCUAUGGUGCAUAACGUUCUCCCGCACCGUGACCCUAUGGUCACCCCUAUGGUGCAGAACGUUCACCCGCACCUAGCAGUAUGACAAGCUGGGAGAAACCUCCCAAAGGAGCCACCCAUUGGCUCCAUCAGCAAAAGGCUGGACGACAUGCUCUCCACGCCUUUCUGCUCUCAUAUUAUUCAUUACGAGCCCCCAAGGGGAUUCCUUGUGCCUAAAUUCUCCACGUACGAUGGGUCUAGUGACCCCUUCGACCAUAUCAUGUAUUAUCGACAGCUCAUGACUCUCGAUAUAAGAAACAACGCGCUACUAUGCAAAGUGUUCCCCGCCAGCCUACAAGGGCAGGCCCUCUCAUGGUUUCACCGUCUACCUCCCAACUCUAUUGAUAAUUUCAGGGACCUGUCGGAAGCCUUCGUGGGACAAUACUUAUGCUCCGCUCGGCAUAAGCAGAACAUCAACACUCUGCAAAACAUAAAAAUGCAGGACAACGAGUCCUUGAGGGAGUUCGUGAAACGGUUUGGUCAGGCCGUGCUACAGGUAAAGGCUUACAACAUGGAUGUUGUCCUGCAGAUCUUCAAGCGAAGCAUUGGUCCAAGCACCCCAUUUUUCGAAUCAUUCGCUAAGAAGCCUCCUACGACGAUGGACGACUUGUUCCGGCGUGCGAGCAAAUACUCCAUGCUCGAAGAUGACGUGCGAACAGCCACCCAACAAAUCUUGGUUGUCGGACAAGCAUCCAGAGGUGGUGCAGAAAGAAGUGCCAAACUUCCGGACCGGCCAAGGCCGUCCGAUAGAAGGUAGGAAGGGCCAAGUCGCCCGGAAAUGCCGCCCCCCAUACCCCUUUCCAUAUCUUUUGAAAAGCUUCUCCCUAUGAUCCAAGACAUGUCCGACUUCAGGUGGCCUAGACCCCUCAAAACGGACCCCUCCAAAAGGGAUCAUAGUAAAAAAUGCGCCUACUGUAAGGAGCAUGGUCACACAACGGAGGCGUGCAAGUGCCUCCAUUAUUUGGUCAAAAGGCUCAUACAGGCGGGACAUUUAAAGCAAUACCUCCGCUCAGAUGCCAGAGGUAGAGACGCUUCCCGAAAUCACAACUCUGGAACCCUCAGGGCUUUAGCCGCCCCCAAAGUCGUUAUAAACUAUAUUAACGGAGGCCCACUCAAUGAGGAGUACGACUCCAAACGAAAGAGACAGAGGUUGGUGAGGGCAGCAUCGGUGCGUGAGCAUGUCAACUCCAUCCGGCCUGGGAUAAUUGGGGGUGGGGGAGGGGGGGGGGGGGGGGGCUUAGCCCCAUAGAUGGGACAAUCAUUUUCCCGCCAGUAGACCCCACACGAAUAUUGUAGCCACACCGCGAUGCCCUCAUCCUGUCCCUAGAGAUAGGAGACUUCGACGUGAGACGCAUCCUAGUUGAUCCGGGCAGCUCGGCCGAUCUUGUACAAGCAUCGGUCAUUAGCCACAUGGGAUGCAGUUUAGCAGGCCUCGAAAACCCUGGGCAAAUCUUGUCCGGAUUCAACGGGGCAUCAACUACUUCCUUGGGAGAUAUUGCAUUGUCGGUCUAAACUGACCCAAUCACUCUCAACGUACAAUUUUCGGUGGUACAAGAUUUAUCACCCUUCAAUGUCAUCUUGGGGCGCACAUGGCUGCAUUACAUGAAAGUCAUCCCCUCUACGUAUCAUCAAAUGGUAAGCUUCCUUACCAAGGAUGGGCAAAUCGACCUAUAUGGCAACCAGUUAGCCGCUCGUCAAUGCUACCAGAUAGCAUGAGAAGCAGAGACCAGCCAGGAGGAUAAAACCCUCCCUGAGUCCAGCCAUACACUUGACCAAUAGCAAUUAUUGAGUCCGACGGACAAAGAUCCCUCGGCAGCGGAUCCCUUGCAGGCGAUCCAAAUUUCAGAAGAAGGUACUCACCUUACAUAUAUCAGUUCCCUCCUGACACCAGAAGAGACCCGGAACAUUUAGAACGCCCUCCGACAAAGCCAUGACGUCUUCUCAUGGGCACAUUCUGAUAUGAAGGGAAUUCAUCCCUCCAUCGCCUCUCAUAGGCUUAACAUCUUGCCAACAGCAAGACCCGUCCGACAGAGGGUUAGACGUUUCCACCCGGACAUGCAAAAGAUUAUCCGGGAUGAGAUCGACAAGUUGCUGGAAGCCGGAUUCAUCAGAGAGGUGGAGUACCCGGAUUGGUUGGAAAAUGUAGUGGUGGUACCCAAAAAGGAAGGCAAAUGGCGGGUGUGCGUCGAUUACACCAACCUCAAUAAUGCAUGCCCAAAAGACAGUUUCCCUUUGCCACGUAUCAACCAAAUUGUGGACUCCACUAUUGGGCAAGGGAUGCUCUCCUUCUUGGACACCUUCUUCGGAUACCACCAAAUCCCCAUGUCCCCGACUGACGUAGAAAAAACAGCCUUCAUAACGCCACACGGUCUUUAUUGCUACAAAGUCAUGCCGUUCGAACUCAAAAAUGCUGGCGCCACUUAUCAGAGACUGAUGACGAAGAUCUUCAAACCUCUGGUCGGCCACACAGUAGAGGUAUAUAUUGAUGAUAUCGUGGUUAAAAGCAAAACCCGAGAGGAACAUGUCCUCCAUUUGCAAGAAGUCUUCCACCUCUUAAGGAAGUAUGACAUAAAGUUGAAUCCUGCUAAGUGCGCCUUUGGCGUAAGCGUUGGAAAAUUCUUGGGAUUUAUGGUCAGCCAAAGGGGGAUAGAGGUUAGCCCUGAUCAAGUCAAGGCAGUCAUGGAAACACCACCCCCCAAGAACCAAAAGGAAUUACAGCGCCUCACAGGCAAGCUCGUUGCGCUAGGACGCUUUAUAACUCGCUUCACUAAUGAACUGCGACCUUUCUUCUUGGCAAUACGAAAAGCUGGAGCGAGCGGAUGGACAGACAGCUGUCAGAGCGCUUUUGAAAAAAUUAAACAUUGCCUCAUGCAACCGCCCAUCCUGAGCAGCCCCCUCCCUAAAGAAAAAUUGUAUAUGUAUCUGGCUGUAUCGGAGUGGGCAAUUAUCGUUGUUCUAUUCCGUUGCCCCUCGCCCAAGGAGCAGAAACCUAUUUACUACGUUAGCAGAGCGUUGGCGGACGUAGAAACUAGGUAUUCAAAGAUGGAGCUAACGGCCUUGACUCUUCGAAGUGCCGCCUAGAAGCUCCGCCCUUACUUCCAAGCCCACCCGGUGGUCGUGCUAACUGACCAACCCCUUCGCAGCAUCCUGCACAAACCGGACUUAACCGGAAGAAUGCUUCAAUGGGCCAUAGAGUUGAGCGAAUACAGAAUCGAGUUCCAACCAAGGUUGUCCAUUAAAGGCCAAGUGAUGGCUGACUUCGUGCUAGAAUACUCCUGAAGGCCUAACCAACGCAAAGAACCAAGUGAAAACGAGUCGUGGACUUUGCAGGUUGAUGGAGCCUCCCGGUCAUCAGGAUCCGGAGUAAGGCUCCUGCUGCAAUCCCCAACAGGAGAACAUCUAGAGCAAGCCAUCCGACUGGGGUUUCCCGCCUCUAACAAUGAAGCAGAGUAUGAGGUCAUCCUAUCCGGAUUGGACCUCGCCCUGGCUCUAUCCGUCUCCAAGCUCCGGGUCUAUAGUGAUUCCCAACUCGUGCUAAGGCAUGUCCAGAAGGAAUACGAAGCUAAAGAUGUACGCAUGGCGCGAUAUCUGACUAAAGUAAAGGACACCUUACAACGGUUCACUGAAUGGACGAUCGAAAAAAUUAAACGAACUGAAAAUGGACGUGCCGAUGCCCUGGCAGGCAUAGUUGCCUCCCUCCCCAUCACAGAAGCCAUAUUGUUGCCUAUACAUGUACAAGCCAACCCUUCCGUCGCAGAAGCCUCCACUUGCAAUACCAUUGAGGCAAACCAAGCAGACAACCAAGGAUAGACGGAAGCCGUCAUAGAAUAUCUCCGGACAGGCACUCUGCCCGAAUAGCCCAAGUAGGCACACAAGACCCAGGUACAAGCCGCCCGUUUCACCCUGAUCGGGGGGCACUUGUACAAGCGAUCCUUUACAGGCCCCUAUCUCAGGUGCUUAAACCACUCAGAAGCCCUGUAUGUGUUAACUGAGUUGCAUGAAGGAGUAUGUGGAAAUCAUUUAGGGGGCAGAACCCUGGCGCACUGGGCGCAUUCACAAGGCUAUUAUUGGCCCACGAUGAAAAAAGAUGCGGCAACCUAUGUAAAAAAAUGUGACAAGUGUCAAAGGCAUGCCCCCAUACCACAUGUUCCGUCGGAAACGUUAAAGCCAAUUUCUAGUCCCUAACCCUUCGCGCAGUGGGGCAUGGACAUAGUAGGACCCCUACCAAUUGCAGCUACUCAGAAAAAAUUCCUGCUCGUCGCCACAGAUUACUUCAGUAAAUGGGUGGAAGUUGAAGCAUACGCUAGCAUCAAAGACAAAGAUGUCAUCAAGUUCGUAUGGAAGAACAUCAUCUGCCGCUUCGGAAUCCCCCAAACCAUUAUAGCCGACAACGGUCCACAGUUUGAUAGCAUCGCUUUCCAGAAUUUUUUUUUCGGAACUAAACAUCUGGAAUUCAUACUCCACACCGUGCUAUCCUCAAAGUAAUGGGCAAGCAGAAGCCACAAACAAGAUCUUAAUAACUGCCUUAAAGAAGAGGCUCGAGCAAGCCAAAAGGAAGUGGGUGGAGGAGCUACCUGGCGUCCUGUGGGCUUAUCGAACCACACCCGGACGUUCGAUAGGAAACACUCCCUUCGCCCUCCCAUACGGUAUGGACGCAGUCAUUCUUACUGAAAUAGGGCUACCCACUAUCCGGACCAAGGCAGGAGAGCAGGAUGAUGCAAAUGCGGAGUUAGGAAGGAACUUGGACUGGGCAGACGAAGUAGGAGAAACUGCAUCCAUCUGGAUGGCAGACUAUCAACAAAGGGCAGCCGCUCACUACAAUCGCAAGGCAAGACCCGAAAGUUUCAAAAGUGGAACGCUGGUUCUUAGAAAGAUUUUCGAAAACACUGCUGAGACGGGAGCAGGAAAGUUUCAAGCCAAUUGGGAAGGUCCUUAUAUAGUGUCCAAGACAAGUGAAAGUGAAGUCUAUCAUCUACAGAAGCUAGAUGGAACCCCAUUGCUUCGACCAUGGAAUGUACCCAAUCUAAAGCAAUAUUACCAAUGAAGCAAAAACAGAAGUACAAAAUGAAUGAGUAUGUUUUAUUAAUACUUGUGAAAUUUUAUACAAAAAGGCUCUUCGGACUACUAAUACAGAGAGAAAAAGCAGUAAAAGUUACAAAAAGAAAAGCUCUCAUUGGGAGGGCUUGCGAUGCAACUUUUCUUUCUCGCCCGGGGGAAUCGAAGGGACAUCCCGUUUGAUGCAAUGCUUCUUCAUGCAGCAAUGGUAGCCAAAGAGAUACAUCUCGUCUACCUGCUUCUGGUAGUCCGUCUCGAGUUCCUCUCUCUCCGCAGCAAACUCAACCUCCAACUCUUCUUUUUGUGUUGAUAAGCGCAACUGCAAAUCCUCUUUCUGUUUUUUCUCAAUUGACACCUCUGUCCUGAGUUGUCUUACUUCCCCCCUCAGUUGGGCCGUCUCGUUUUCCGCCUCGUGCAAGCGGGCGUCGGUAGCUUCCUCUCGGCUCUUCGCCUCUGCUAGCUCUAUCCGGAUAGCCUCGUUGUCAUCCUGGGACCUCUUCAAGGCUUCAGCACUCUUUUCAGAGGCUCUCCGGGCAGCGGAUAAGCUGGCUUCGGCCUGCUCCAAUCUCGAGCGCAAUUCCUCUUCACCGCUCAUGUGCUGGGAGACGAAGGCCUUCAUGUGAUCGGAAACCCGCAGCAAGUUUGUAAAAAGAUCGUGUUGUCGAACCAUGCCGCGAAUACCACUCACCAGCUGCAGGAAAAACCCACAACAAAAAGUACAAGUUGCAAGCCAUGUAAAAAGCACACCAGUAUGGCAAGAAAAAUCAAAGGAGGAUAAGUUAUACCAUUUCCAUCGCUUCAAACAUUUUCGCUGUAGGCGUAGCAACAUCUGAGCCGGAUGGAAUCCGUUUUAACAUAUCUCCCAACUCCGCAUAGCUGACAGGACUAGCGGAGGUGCAAGUUGCAUCAUCAACGGGACUCUCCCCUGACGAGGCACUAGGGUGUGACUCCUCCCCCGGCUCCGGACCCCCAUCAUGCAUGGUCGGCUGGAUCUCUUCGGGCGAACCCUCAUCCGGGACCAACACCGGGUCGGUUGGGUUCUCUUCCGCCAUCUCCGUCUCACUCUCCUCCGGAUGAUCCUCCUGGGCGGAUGAGCAGCUGACUUCGAUGGUUUCCAGAAGAAUAUCCUGAAGCCGCCCGCUGAUGCCAGACUUUAAAUCGUGAGCCAGACGAGACCUCCUUGUAGCUGGCCUUUUCACCGGUACAAGGGCAAGGGAGCUCGACUCACAAGGGGGCAAACCCUGCCCUUCAACCCUCGUUUCUUCCAUUGGAGGCGCCAUAGAAGGCAACGUUUCAGCGCAAGAAGCCUCGGCUACACCCGCGUCCGGAGGGGAAGAGUCGGGCUGACACACUGAGAUUGCUUCCUCAACCAGAAGAGCCAUCCGUUUAGCCGCUGGCAUUGAAGGCCCCGAUCCGUUUAGACCCGUGAGACGUCCGGAACCGCUUGAAACAGAAGACAAACCGGAGGAAGCUGGAGAUCUUAUUAUUAUUCCCUCCACGGGAGCUGGAGAGCUUAUUACUAUUCCCUUUGUGGGAGCUGGCGAUUUUAUUACUACUCUAUUUUCGGGAGUUGGAGGUUUUAUUGCUUUUCCCUUUGAGGGAACCUUUUUCUUCGUUCUAGUUGGGGCGGCAGUAGGAGGAGAGGGCGCGGAGCGUUUAUCACCAGGGGCCUUCCGCAAAGUCCCCUCUUGCUUUUUUUUCCUCCCGUUCGUUGAGAAGUGCUUUGCGUGCUUGGGCGUCUGCCUUUUGCACCGUCGUGUAGAAUGAGAGAUCUUUUAAAAUGAAAUGCUUCCCAGCCACCACCUCUUUGGGCAGCCGCCUCGGGAGUAUGUUGAGCACGUACGGCUGGGGCACUUGGGUAACCAAGCGGAGAUUCUGCGCGGAGAGAAGCGUUUCACAGCUCCUCUCGUUUGCCGCAAUCUAAAAUAGCCUGUUCAACCGGUCAAACGAGGCUUUUUCCACCCACUCUACCACCUUCCCCCUCCUAUCCUUGCCUGCACCCAAGAAAACAAAGCAUGUCAACCACCUAAUAAUGUUGACCUAACUCACAACCACGGGAGGACAGGGAGCAACUUAUACAUACCUAGGACCUUCAAUGACCGGUUGAGAGCAAACUGCUUGUUCGGAUGCGUGGUCAAACCCACCCAUACACCCUUGAACAGCACGUGUAAAAAGAACCUCCAGUAGUGAAAGGUCCAAGUUGAACAGCAUGCUCAGGAUGCUGCACCCCAUCAGCACCCGGACCAUGUUCGGAUGGAUGUAAGCCGGAUCCGGGUGACGUGGAGAAAUUCUUUGAACAAUGAUGGGAGAGAGAACCGGAGCCCAGCAUUGAAUUGCUCCUUGGUGAAGUAGAUAGCGUUGUCCGCAGAUUUCUCAGUCGACAUGGCCUCUUCGUCCACAAGGUGAACGGACACUCCAUUCGGGAUGCAGAAGCGUUCGCAGAACUCCCUCACGUUUAGCUUGUCCACAGAUUUUUCCGCAUGGACCUCUCCGGACGCAUCUUUGCCGCUCUACCCGGCCGCACUAGACGAAGCAGCGUUCUUUUUCGCAGACAUUUUUUAGAGUAGGGUUGAAGCAAAACCUGCAUGACAGAAUGUCAACAGUAAAAAACAUGGACCCGACCCCACAACCCUAACGGCAAAAAACGCUCAGAAAACCUAACAUCACCAGUAUCCCCAUCCCAACCCUUGGCUCUACCACAAACAAAAAUCGGUAGCCCACAAAAGGCGCAGGGGGGCAACAGAAACCCUAACGCACCCAAAACACGAUCAAAACCCCCUGAAAAAACCCUAAAAACCAAUAUCGACCCCCAAUCGUAAAGUAGAUUGCCCAACAAGCCAGAAACAACCAUAAAGCAAACACAAACGAGGACAAGGCAGAAAUAGAGAACGUACCGAGUGUAAAAUGGCAAAAUGGAGAUAAAGUCCACGGUGCACUCACCGUCACUGAUCGAAUAUUGCUAGCAGAAACCCUAGAACCUCACUCACAGACGAAGAUACGCAGAAGGCUGAAGAGAAAGCGCUACCAAUAGAAAAUGCAGAAGAAAAAAUGCAACAGUAGGGGGCUCGAUCUGCUAUUUAUAGUGGACAGCCCCUCGGUAUCCCAAACGACCAACCGCGCCGUUUCUGAAAAGACACGCUGCUUGGAAAUUCCCAGAGAUGUCGGCUCAUCAUAAAUGCUCUUUUUCCUUUUUCGCCCCCGCGCACCACGUGGCCCAAUGAGCGCAAAAAGUAACCUCAGAUUCAAAAACAAUCAUUUUUUAACCUGCUCAUUCUGCCCGGACAAAAUCGGCAGGUUAAAAGGGGGGCAUUGUAGGGACCCUUCCCCCUGAUGACACAUGGCGCGCCUCGCUGUCCGGAGCGACUCCAUCCGGACUCCCCAAAGAAGGACACGUGGCGCGCUCCCCCUAUCCGAAUUCCCUCAGGGAGAAGCACACGGCACUCGCAAGCAUCACAUCCGGACGAUAGCAUAUCCUAUCCGAAUAUGUUGUCCGGAUCGUUGACUAAAGUAAGCAAGUCUUAAUGACAGCCUGCCACAGCCCACGUUUCACCACCUGCAGAGCGAAAGGACAGAAGUGAUGGCAAGUCACCUUCUACGAUCUCUGACAGCCGCCCGUAGGGUGAUGAUGGCCCUGCCAUCACCUAGAGGCAUCAUGACGAGCCAAAAAGUCUCCCUACCAUUAAAGAGGAGGACAGAGCUUCUGAUACUAUAUAUAUGGACCUUCACACAAGGAGGAAGGUAAGCUUGCUAUACCUAGUAAAAGGUCAACUGAUUAAUCUCUCUAAGAUAUGGCUGACAAAACCAUCGGAGGGUGUGUCCGGACACCCUGUCCGGACAUCUUUUGCAAGGACAACUGAACCAGAACUCUAUCUUGGUUGAAAACGUGCGUCCAUUUGGCAGUUACGUGGAUCAUCGGGACGCAAGGCCUCAACAACCACCACCAUCGUCGCCUCGGUACUCAGAUGCAGACUAUAAUUAAAUUUUCGAAGACGGUGACUCUAUAAUAAUAAGUCUUUCAAUAGUCAAUACUUCCGAUUCGAAAGUAUGACUAUAAUAAUUAAAUUUAAAAAUUUUAAAAUCAUUUUUAUUCUCAAUAUUGGGAACAAAGUCUUCCAUUAUUUUUUUUAAAAAAAUGCAGUAGUGUUAAAACAAUUUAUCUUCAAAACUAAUGUUAAAAAAAAAGUAAAAUUAAAUAAAAAUUAGUUUCACCUAUUAUUAUAUUUUUAUUUUCUAGCUUUUGGAUGUUGUUAUCAUUUUUUCCCUUCAUGUGCUAGGAUGACCGAGUUGAAUUUGUUAUUUGGGUGGAGCUAAUUUGUUUAAAUAUUCAUUCUUUGGGGAAUAAAAAUAAUUUUAAUAUAGCAAAACUAAAACAUAUAAUAUAGAAGAUGGACAAAGUUAAGGUAAACACUCAAAGAAAAUUAAGAUUUUGGGACUUCUCAAUUU
rnacentral:lncRNA from 1 species